rnacentral:rRNA from 1 species
UACGUAGGUGGCGAGCGUUGUCCGGAUUUAUUGGGCGUAAAGCGCCCGCAGGCGGCCUGACAAGUUUCAGGUGAAAUCUCCCGGCUUAACUGGGAGGGGUCCUGGAAAACUGUCAGGCUUGAGGCAGGGAGAGGGAUGUGGAAUUCCCGGUGUAGUGGUGAAAUGCGUAGAUAUCGGGAGGAACACCAGUGGCGAAGGCGGCAUCCUGGCCCUGUCCUGACGCUCAGGGGCGAAAGCGUGGGGAGCAAACCGG